AGACGCGGAGAUAAAAACACGGCCCGGUCGGUAGUCCGGGCGGCCCCGGACGGGGCUCAGUAACCUGCCUCCUUGGUUGUCCGUUCUCCGGAUAUUUCGG
rfam:Oscillibacter sp. 1-3 genomic scaffold acPPL-supercont1.4, whole genome shotgun sequence.